UACGAAGGGGGCUAGCGUUGCUCGGAAUUACUGGGCGUAAAGGGCGCGUAGGCGGACAGUUUAGUCAGAGGUAAAAGCCCAGGGCUCAACCUUGGAACUGCCUUUGAUACUGACUGUCUUGAGUUCGGGAGAGGUGAGUGGAAUGCCGAGUGUAGAGGUGAAAUUCGUAGAUAUUCGGAAGAACACCAGUGGCGAAGGCGACUCACUGGACAACUGUUGACGCUGAGGUGCGAAAGCGUGGGGAGCAAACAGG
rnacentral:rRNA from 1 species